CACAAUGGUGCGCGCGCGCCAGAGCUGCACUAUAAGGGAGGGCGAGCUGGGGGCGGGGCCAGCGCGUGGCGUCAGCGCGCAGCACGUACCCUCCCGCUCUGGAGCCCAGGGCUCGGGGGUGACUUGCAGGUCCACUUCCGCGAGGUUUUGGGGAAGUGCAGUUCUGCUCGCUUACACAAUUUUCCCCACCCAUCAUUGUAAACGUAGUUUCCCGUCGUCGAGCCACAGACUUGUCUUCUAAUUUGUACUUUUUAAAAAACCUCCUUGGUGUGAUCUCUCCGGGACAGGAGUUUGGGAGGCAGUCCCGGAGGACUCCCGGUUUUCAUUGGUUCCUGAUGUUGUCGUUAAUAGGACUCUGUGGUCUCUGAUUGGCUCCUUAAAGCGAGGCUGCGAAUUUCCUCCGCUGAUCGGCUCACGCUCCGCUCGGCGGGCAACGCGCGCUCCGACCCCUGAUUAUCCCGUUUCACCUAAUCCGAGGUUUACCCUCCGGAGUGGUGGUGACCCGCACGGUUUCGCGUUACGAGCAUACAGCCUUGCUGGCCUCUAUCCCUGGUGGUCUCACAGCUAUCAUCGGCCUUGACCCCCUCGCUGCCCGUCCCCGUCCAUGGGUCUUUUCUUGAAACACUGGCAAGUCACCUGUAGAUUGCUGUGUACGUGGUAAUUCCACUCUCGCUGUGGGUGCUCCCAAAGGGAGUACGACCGAGGUCUCUGGCCCAAGAAAGUUAAUCAAGACCUGGCAGCCCUCCUACACAGUGUUUCAUUGGACAUGCCUUUUAAAGCUGGAGAACUACAUGAAAACCCCGAAGGACUGGAACUCACUACUCCCAGAUCAAGAGUCACACGCUCCAUGGACUGAGCCAGCCAGGCGCCCCCCCAGUGGCUACUCUUAACAAAAAACCAUUAACCCACCAACUACAGAAGACAGUCUCAAAUGAUCAUCAUUGAAGGUACUGUUGGACCAUCAGCAUUCUGUCGAGUCUUGUUGAUGAUCUAACUCACCUCUGUUGAUAUUUUGGAAGAAAGACUCAAGGGAGAAAUGAUGGAUGUAUAGCACAGGAGGCCACUUCUUUUAGAUACCUACAGUUGUGGCAGAUAAAGAUCACUAUUGCUGAUUCUAAAAUUGUGGAGGUAACUGCAGAAGUCUGUCAGCAAGAGAGAGUGGCCUCAGUCUGAUCCAAAAGAGAGUUAAUAACUUUGAAUCCAUCCAUAAAUACCCAGAUUGUAAAGGAUAGUUUAGAGCACGCAUUGUUGUGGUUUUCAAUCCCAAGUACCAUGUGAUUUGAAGUGGGUGUAAACUGAAUUGUGAUAGGUUUUGCUAUAUUAUGUCUGGAAAACUUAGCAUUCCAGAAGCUGUCAUCUUGAAUGGACUUGGGUUGAACUUGGCAACUCAAGUGUGUUUACAUGGAGUGGAGUGAAUGUAUGCAGGUGUUGCUGUAGAAAUGGAAUUCAGAAAUGGAAAUUGUCAGGGACAGAGUUUGAAAGAAAUGUGAAUCAGAUGAUUGAAAGAGCUCGGAAGUGAUGAGAUUAAAGGUACAUUUCAAUUGCGGUAUUGGAUUAAAUGUUGCCAAGCUAAUCCAAACCCUUUUUGAAAAACAUCUGUACAGGGUUCAUCUAGACAGGGUUUUUCAACCUAAGCACUACUGACAUUUGGGGCCAGGUAAUUUUCUGUUGUGGGGGCUGUCCUGUGCACUGCAGGAUGUUUAGCAGUGUUCCUGGCUGGCAUCUACCUGUUAGACACCAGUAGCUCUUUCCCUCCCCCCAGCUGUGACAACUAAAAAUAGAUUGAGUGAAGAGGAUUAAGAGGUACAAGCUUUCCGUUAUAAGUCAUGGAGAUGAAAAGUAUAGCACAGGGAAUAUGGUCAAUAGUAUUGUAAUGAUAUGGUGUGGUGACAGAUGGUGACCACACUUAAGGUGGUGAACAUUGAGUGAUGUAUAGUUUUUGGAUCAAUCUGUUGCACACCUGAAGCUAAUAUAACAUUGUAUGUCAAUUAUAAUUCAAUAAAAAAAAUUGGGGGGUUAACAAAAUGUUUUGAAAUGUUGACAAAUGUCUGCUAAAGCAUAGAAUUGACACCUAAGGUGUUGCUUGUGACAGUGAGGGGAUGUGUGUCACUGAGAAUGGGCUUCCCUUGCGUUCUGAGUAUUCAAGGAGUAACCAGAAUUUUCAGCAAAAGUGGAAGGAUAAUGAGGUUUCACCACCCAAGAAGACUGGGGAGGAUACCAUGGUGGCUCAGUCUGUUGAUAUUGGACUCUUGAUUUUGGCUCAGGUCAUGAUCUCACAGUUCGUGUGUUUGAGCCCUGUGUUGAGCUCUGGUAGUGUGGAACCUGCUUUGGAUUCUUUCUCUCCCUCUCUCUGCCCCUCCUGCUCUCCC